GAGGGACGGCAGGGGGCGCAGCAGCGCGAGACUUUCUGUCCCGCGCUCCCUGCGCGGUGAUGGGGAAACUGAGGUCCCAGAAGAGAAAAAGACUAAAUCUGUUGCCCGCUGGCCCACUUCCUGGCUCGCCCUACUCAACUAUCCUGCUGUUCACCGUGUCUCUGUGAGUGGUGGUUCCCAGAAGCUCUAGGCUUAUUUUAUCCUUGAAGCAAACAAUUCCAGAAGAAUUCUUCUUGUUCUCAUCAAUUCCAACAGAAGCUCAGGGAUGGACUUUUAUUGGGUUCCCUCGGGUGU